CAGUAGCCGCGGUAAUACGGAGGGUGCAAGCGUUAAUCGGAAUUACUGGGCGUAAAGCGCACGCAGGCGGUUUGUUAAGUCAGAUGUGAAAUCCCCGGGCUCAACCCGGGAACUGCAUUUGAAACUGGCAGGCUGGAGUCUCGUAGAGGGGGGUAGAAUUCCAGGUGUAGCGGUGAAAUGCGUAGAGAUCUGGAGGAAUACCGGUGGCGAAGGCGGCCCCCUGGACGAAGACUGACGCUCAGGUGCGAAAGCGUGGGGAGCAAACAGGAUUAGAUACCCCGGUAGUCCCUGUCUCUUAUAC
rnacentral:rRNA from 1 species